ensembl:lncRNA
GGUGGAAUAGCACAGCGAGGUUGUUAAAUGCUGAUCUGAGCACCGAGUUAUUCACAGUGUCAUGGGAGGAGGUCAGACUGACUCUAAGCAAGUCCCGUGGAAAGGGAGUACAAGUUUAGCCUUGCGAUCUCUGAAAAAUCUUAAAUGAAAAUCCACCUUUCUCAAAAUUACUGAAAUUCUUGACCAUUUCUUCGUGUGGGACUUCUUAACAAUGGGAACCUUCCGUGGGAUAAAUAGGACUAAGGCUUCUGUGAGCAGAGAAUGUUCUGUGCAGUUUACAAUUUGGGCUGCCAAAAAGGAUAUUUCCUAGGUAAUUAUCAUUUAGAGGAAAAAAAGUAAAAUACUCUGAGUUGGAGGGGAAAAAAAAAUCGCCAUUGUGAACUUACAUCCAGAAAGUGAAUAGGUUGGAAACCAGUUCGUUCUUGAGAACAGCAACAAAAUUUCUUUUGAGAGAGAAAAUUGCAGGUUCUUCCUGCAGCUUUUCUAAGUAAAACCUCAGAUUUGGCUUUUGACAAAGAGUCCCCAUGGCUUGUCAUGCAACAUGUAGGUUUGGGGGAAGGGACUUAUCUUCUCAGCACAGUAACAGAGGCUGACGGGAAUUAACUAUGGCUGUAAUUAUUUCAAGUGAGUGUAGAAAUGGGAGAAGGCUAGAGCUUCCUUGGAUGCUGUGCAACAUGAAUGAAAAGAGAACAAAGGUCAGAUUUUUGGAACCACUCCCAGUCAAAUACUCAUGUGAGUUAAGGAUGAGGGUUUUUAUUUAUCAUUUGUCUUGAAAACAAAAUAAAAAAAGGAAAUCUUUUCUUCUCAUAACAGAUGGAGGAACACAAACACACAAAGCCCAGGCCUCCAGCUAAAAGAGACAGGGAAAGGGAGUCUGUACUGGUGUUCGUAAGGAAAGAUACUUCAUAAUGAUGGGUAUGCAUGCUGGAAGCUCUCUUCUGAACAUGCAUGCCCAAGAAAGACAUUAUGAAUCAACAGAGGUUUUUUGGCUUUUGUAGGCUUCAUAGCUGCAAACAGUACUCCUUGCUCAGCUGUUCUGGUUGUUGGAAGGCACGCAUACUGGUACUAGGCAGAAAAUGCAUACAGUGAAAUGACUGGGCUUGCAGCAGUUAAAUAUUCCCAACUUAGGGCGAGAGCAAGAUCUUUACGCUUUAGCUAUAAACUUACUCCUGCUUCAGGCCCGCUCUUUUCACAUUCCUCUACCAGAGGAAUACGCCAUCAACUUCUAGUUCAGACACAGAUUCAGUAACUGCUCUAUUUUCUGUUUUAUCAAACUGUGCCUGUGUGUUUCUACAACAUCCCACUGCGGAAGAGAAAGCCCAGGUUACCAAAGCAUGAAAUCUGUCCUCUGGCCUGGUUCAAAGCAUGUAUCACGCAGGGGAGUAGGUAAAGAAAAUCCUUGUCAGGAAAGCAGGCCUGAGGACUAAAUCUCACACCAUGAAACACCCCUUCCUCCUAAAACCUUAAACUAAAAGCUAAGCUGUGACUCAGCCCCCUGCAAAAGGGGCUCAAAGCAUUUGUUAGAAUAAAUGAGAGUGCAAGAGGCCAGCAGACCAGCACUCGUCAGGGGCCACGGGGCUUCAUUUCAGGGCACACGCACUUCAGUAUUUCUAGAAAUGACCAGGGCAAGGGACUUAGAUGCAUAUUUAUGUGCAUGUAUUAAGCCACCUUGGAGAUUACAACAAGACCCUGGACCAGAGGGCGGUUAGAGCAAGCUCCCCAGGCAGCAGUCACAGCCCCAGGCUGAGGGAGUUGGAGAAGCAUUUGGACACUACCAUUGGAGAUGGCAGUUGAAGUUCAGGCAGACCGGGGCAGAGCUACAAGUGGGAGGUCCCUUCCAACACAGGCUGCAUUCCUAUUCUACACACAGCAGCCAUUUUACUGAGUUUGUAUACUUGUUAAGCUUUUCCUCUCUUCUCAGUAGUGUACUUCUUCACCAUCCCACUGGGAAAAAAGCAGAGCCUGUUAGCCCCAGCAGCAACAGCUUAAAGGCCAGCAGACAUCUCCUUGCACUAAGGAGUCAACCUACUAACACACUGAGACACAGUAGCAGCAAAGGCAGAAGGAGAGUAGUUCUGUAUUCAAGUCAAUUAACUCCUUUUUCUCUCCUGCCUUGUAGAGGUGGCUGCAUUUGAACAGCAGCACAGCUGGAACAUUAACUAACUAAAAGUGAAGUUAAUAACUGCAGACUUCCACACGAAGGUACAAUAUACAUCCUCAAGCCAGGGAAGCCCUACCGCAUCUGAGAAAGGCUGCCUUGCAGAAAUUCAGCUGCAACAACACAGACACAGGAAACAUCCUCAGCAAUUUCAGCUGGUGAGCGAAGUGAGGCUGAGGCAUGGUGCUGUUGGAGUAGGUGAUCUGUAAAUAUUUGUUAUUAACAUAAGUCUCACCUUUUUUUUUUUUUUUAAACAGAACACACAAUGCCAAACGACCACCCACCGAAGAGGGCAUUUGCCUCCCCUUUCUCACCCCUCAAGAUUACCGAGGGAAUGGCAUCAGCCAGGGAAGAAGCCCCCAGCACAGAAAAAGCAGGUGCCUCCUCUUUUAGUGUGGUAAGUAAGGAUUUAGAGUUACCCCUAGACAUUCCCCUAUGCAGUUUUGCUUCGGCCAGAAGCUGAAGAACGUAAAGAAAGUGGAAGAGGUCUCUCAAACAGGAGACCUGGUUUUCCCACUAUUACAAAGUCACCCAUUUCCAAAUUUCAGGCCGCCCAUCUACCAGUUCAAUCCAGCACAGGUCAUGAGGUACGCUCUUGAACAUUUUGCCUUAGCCACAGAAGGAGGUACCUUCAUUUUUAUUUAUAUAAACAAAAAUGAAGUUGGCCAUGUUAGAGACCUCUCACAAGAGGAGAGGUCAUCAGCAUUUCCCUUGUUUAGUUUUCCCACUUAUCUGAUUUCCCCCCCCCCCCCCGCUCCCCCUGCAGGAGUAGCACACGAAAAUCUGAGAGCACAGCAGCAGCUCCCCUCCUUCCUGAGAGUCUCAGUCUUAGGCUGCUGCUGCGGUAUCCAUCCUGCAUACACUAGAGAUUGUUUACUCCCCCACACCUCAGGCAAACAUCACCCUCCAGCCACUUCCUCCAACCCCCAGGGAGCAGUGACUACAGAGAACAAGCAACCUCUUAAGUCACAACAAGAAGUUGGUUCCAAGGGGCCUUACCUGAGCUUUGAAGUAACACACUAAAAGCUUUCUCCUCCUCCUCCUUUCAG